UUAACACAUGCAAGUCGAGCGGGCGUAGCAAUACGUCAGCGGCAGACGGGUGAGUAACGCGUGGGAACAUACCUUUUGGUUCGGAACAACACAGGGAAACUUGUGCUAAUACCGGAUAAGCCCUUACGGGGAAAGAUUUAUCGCCGAAAGAUCGGCCCGCGUCUGAUUAGCUAGUUGGUGAGGUAACGGCUCACCAAGGCGACGAUCAGUAGCUGGUCUGAGAGGAUGAUCAGCCACAUUGGGACUGAGACACGGCCCAAACUCCUACGGGAGGCAGCAGUGGGGAAUAUUGGACAAUGGGCGCAAGCCUGAUCCAGCCAUGCCGCGUGAGUGAUGAAGGCCCUAGGGUUGUAAAGCUCUUUUGUGCGGGAAGAUAAUGACGGUACCGCAAGAAUAAGCCCCGGCUAACUUCGUGCCAGCAGCCGCGGUAAU
rnacentral:rRNA from 1 species